GACAGAGGGUGCAACCGUUGCUCGGAAUUACUGGGCGUAAAGCGCGUGUAGGCGGUUACGCGAGUCAGGUGUGAAAGCCCGGGGCUCAACCCCGGAGGUGCGGCCGGGACUGCUUGGCUCGAGUCUCGGAGAGGAAGGUGGAAUGCUUGGUGUAGAGGUGAAAUUCGUAGAUAUCAAGCAGAACACCUGCGGCGAAGGCGGCCUUCUGGACGAUGACUGACGCUGAGACGCGAAAGCGUGGGGAGCAAACAGG
rnacentral:rRNA from 1 species